GGGUUGUGAGGUUAAGCGACUAAGCGUACACGGUGGAUGCCUAGGCAGUCAGAGGCGAUGAAGGGCGUGCUAAUCUGCGAAAAGCGUCGGUAAGGUGAUAUGAACCGUUACAACCGACGAUACCCGAAUGGGGAAACCCAGUGUGUUUCGACACAUUAUCAUCACAUGAAUACAUAGUGUGAUGAGGCGAACCGGGGGAACUGAAACAUCUCAGUACCCCGAGGAAAAGAAAUCAACCGAGAUUCCCCCAGUAGCGGCGAGCGAACGGGGAGGAGCCCAGAGUCUGCAUCAGCUUGUGUGUCAGUGGAAGCGUCUGGAAAGUCGCACAACAAAGGGUGAGAGUCCCGUACACGAAGAUGCACAGGUUGUGAGCUCGAUGAGUAGGGCGGGACACGAGAUAUCCUGUCUGAAGAUGGGGGGACCAUCCUCCAAGGCUAAAUACUCCUGACUGACCGAUAGUGAACCAGUACCGUGAGGGAAAGGCGAAAAGAACCCCGGCGAGGGGAGUGAAAUAGAACCUGAAACCGUGUACGUACAAGCAGUGGGAGCCUUGAUUAAUCAGGGUGACUGCGUACCUUUUGUAUAAUGGGUCAGCGACUUAUAUUCUGUAGCAAGGUUAACCGAAUAGGGGAGCCGCAGGGAAACCGAGUCUUAACUGGGCGUUAAGUUGCAGGGUAUAGACCCGAAACCCGGUGAUCUAGCCAUGGGCAGGUUGAAGGUUGGGUAACACUAACUGGAGGACCGAACCGACUAAUGUUGAAAAAUUAGCGGAUGACUUGUGGCUGGGGGUGAAAGGCCAAUCAAACCGGGAGAUAGCUGGUUCUCCCCGAAAGCUAUUUAGGUAGCGCCUCGUGAAUUCAUCUUCGGGGGUAGAGCACUGUUUCGACUAGGGGGUCAUCCCGACUUACCAACUCGAUGCAAACUGCGAAUACCGAAGAAUGUUAUCACGGGAGACACACGGCGGGUGCUAACGUCCGUCGUGAAGAGGGAAACAACCCAGACCGCCAGCUAAGGUCCCAAAGUCAUGGUUAAGUGGGAAACGAUGUGGGAAGGCCCAGACAGCCAGGAUGUUGGCUUAGAAGCAGCCAUCAUUUAAAGAAAGCGUAAUAGCUCACUGGUCGAGUCGGCCUGCGCGGAAGAUGUAACGGGGCUAAACCAUGCACCGAAGCUGCGGCAGCGACACUAUGUGUUGUUGGGUAGGGGAGCGUUCUGUAAGCCGUUGAAGGUGGCCUGUGAGGGUUGCUGGAGGUAUCAGAAGUGCGAAUGCUGACAUAAGUAACGAUAAUGCGGGUGAAAAACCCGCACGCCGGAAGACCAAGGGUUCCUGUCCAACGUUAAUCGGGGCAGGGUGAGUCGACCCCUAAGGCGAGGCCGAAAGGCGUAGUCGAUGGGAAACGGGUUAAUAUUCCCGUACUGGUUGUUACUGCGAAGGGGGGACGGAGAAAGCUAGGUUGGCCGGGCGACGGUUGUCCCGGUUUAAGCGUGCAGGUGGGUGUUUUUGGUAAAUCCGGAACACUGUUAACACUGAGGCGUGAUGACGAGUCACUACGGUGAUGAAGUAACCGAUGCUACGCUUCCAGGAAAAGCCUCUAAGCACCAGGUAACAAUCAAUCGUACCCCAAACCGACACAGGUGGUCAGGUAGAGAAUACUCAGGCGCUUGAGAGAACUCGGGUGAAGGAACUAGGCAAAAUGGUGCCGUAACUUCGGGAGAAGGCACGCUGGAUUUGGUGAAGUCCCUUGCGGAUGGAGCUGAGACCAGUCGCAGAUACCAGCUGGCUGCAACUGUUUAAUAAAAACACAGCACUGUGCAAACACGAAAGUGGACGUAUACGGUGUGACGCCUGCCCGGUGCCGGAAGGUUAAUUGAUGGGGUAAGCUUUCGGGCGAAGCUCUUGAUCGAAGCCCCGGUAAACGGCGGCCGUAACUAUAACGGUCCUAAGGUAGCGAAAUUCCUUGUCGGGUAAGUUCCGACCUGCACGAAUGGCGUAAUGAUGGCCAGGCUGUCUCCACCCGAGACUCAGUGAAAUUGAACUCGCUGUGAAGAUGCAGUGUACCCGCGGCAAGACGGAAAGACCCCGUGAACCUUUACUAUAGCUUGACACUGAACCUUGAGCCUUGAUGUGUAGGAUAGGUGGGAGGCUUUGAAGCGUGGACGCCAGUCUGCGUGGAGCCAACCUUGAAAUACCACCCUUUAAUGUUUGAUGUUCUAACGUGGGCCCCUGAGCGGGGUUGCGGACAGUGUCUGGUGGGUAGUUUGACUGGGGCGGUCUCCUCCCAAAGAGUAACGGAGGAGCACGAAGGUUAGCUAAUCCUGGUCGGACAUCAGGAGGUUAGUGCAAAGGCAUAAGCUAGCUUGACUGCGAGAGUGACGGCUCGAGCAGGUGCGAAAGCAGGUCUUAGUGAUCCGGUGGUUCUGAAUGGAAGGGCCAUCGCUCAACGGAUAAAAGGUACUCCGGGGAUAACAGGCUGAUACCGCCCAAGAGUUCAUAUCGACGGCGGUGUUUGGCACCUCGAUGUCGGCUCAUCACAUCCUGGGGCUGAAGUAGGUCCCAAGGGUAUGGCUGUUCGCCAUUUAAAGUGGUACGCGAGCUGGGUUUAGAACGUCGUGAGACAGUUCGGUCCCUAUCUGCCGUGGGCGUUGGAAGAUUGAGAGGGGUUGCUCCUAGUACGAGAGGACCGGAGUGAACGCACCACUGGUGUACGGGUUGUGAUGCCAAUUGCAUUGCCCGGUAGCUAAGUGCGGAAGAGAUAACCGCUGAAAGCAUCUAAGCGGGAAACUUGCCUCGAGAUGAGUCUUCCCUGGGACUUUGAGUCCCCUAAAGGGCCGUUGAAGACGACGACGUAGAUAGGCCGGGUGUGUAAGCGCAGCGAUGCGUUGAGCUAACCGGUACUAAUGACCCGAGAGGCUUAACCUUACAACACCGAAGGUGUUU
rnacentral:rRNA from 1 species